rnacentral:rRNA from 1 species
AGAGUUUGAUCCUGGCUCAGGAUGAACGCUAGCUACAGGCUUAACACAUGCAAGUCGAGGGGAAACGACAUCGAAAGCUUGCUUUUGAUGGGCGUCGACCGGCGCACGGGUGAGUAACGCGUAUCCAACCUGCCCACCACUUGGGGAUAACCUUGCGAAAGUAAGACUAAUACCCAAUGAUAUCUCUAGAAGACAUCUGAAAGAGAUUAAAGAUUAAUCGGUGAUGGAUGGGGAUGCGUCUGAUUAGCUUGUUGGCGGGGUAACGGCCACCAAGGCGACGAUCAGUAGGGGUUCUGAGAGGAAGGUCCCCCANACUUGGAACUGAGACACGGUCCAAACUCCUACGGGAGGCA